AGCAUCUGGUCCCUCUUCUUAUUUUAAUUUAAUUAGCUCUGAACCAUUUAAUUGUUGCAAGCCUGCUCACUUACAUAUUUUAGUUUGGAAAUUUUUUGACUAGCCACAUCUUAUUUGGAAAUACUGGUAUCAGAUGACUAUGGUCAUAUGUGCGAUCUUCUACAGCUAAUGGUAUCUGGGGAAAAUGCAAUCCCAUGUUUCUUUUGGUGGCAUUUGAUCACAUUUGGUAUAUAGAACUCCCGAUGUGAGUAUGUGACCCCACUGGCAAAAUGUCACCUCCAUGGAUUCAAAGGAAGCACCAGAUCUCAAUCUCUCAACAAAGAACACCUCCAAAUCUCUCUACCCCACCCCAAAAUUUUUAUCACAACAUUUCGUAGCAAAUCUAGUACCCAUUUUAAUUAAUGAAUCUGGUUAUACAUGGGUUAUUGCAUUGGAACAGUUAACCAAUGUAAGUCCUUAGAAUUUAAAACUGUGAAUGGCAUAGUUCUGGAAGAAAAUCAGAAAGAGUAAAAGAAAUACCUGACAUCGCUAGUUUUGACUUCUGCAUUGUUUGAUCCCUUUAAACUCGACUCUUUUUUUUUUUCCAUUUCUGAAUCUAUUAAAAUUAUGUGGUUCACUUUACAUUUUGGUAUGUGCUUUACAGAACGACGCCUUUAAACUAUAUUAUCCCCUACAUGUUGUUUACAUUUGGCAAUUCAUGUACAGUUUGUCAUCCACAAAAAAAACCUGCUUUUUGAGCAUGUCCAAGGGUAUGAUUAAAUUCGACACUGUUUUUCUGUUUAUUAUUCUUUGUUCUCACUUGCUACUAUGUCUUCAUC
rnacentral:lncRNA from 1 species